AUGAACGCUGGCGGUAUGCUUAACACAUGNAAGUCGAACGAAGUUUUCGGACUUAGUGGCGGACGGGUGAGUAACGCGUAAGAAUCUACCUAUAGGUUCGGGACAACAGUUAGAAAUGACUGCUAAUACCGGAUGUGCCUUCGGGUGAAAGUUUUAAUGCCUGUAGAUGAGCUUGCGUUCGAUUAGCUAGAUGGUGAGGUAAUGGCUCACCAUGGCGACGAUCGAUAACUGGUCUGAGAGGAUGACCAGUCACACUGGGACUGAGACACGGCCCAGACUCCUACGGGAGGCAGCAGUGGGGAAUUUUCCGCAAUGGGCGAAAGCCUGACGGAGCAAUACCGCGUGAGGGACGAAGGUCUGUGGAUUGUAAACCUCUUUUGUUGGGGAAGAUAAUGACGGUACCCAACCAAUAAGCAUCGGCUAACUCCGUGCCAGCAGCCGCGGAAANACGGAGGAUGCCAAGCGUUAUCCCGGAAUUAUUGGGGCGGUAAAGC
rnacentral:rRNA from 1 species